UCCAAUGUGGUGUAGUGGCUAACAUUGCUAUCUUUCAUAAGAAUCUCAAUUGUGUAUCCACAGCAGCUCGGGGUUCGAUUCCCCGCAUUGGAA